CAUGUUGACGACGAUAAAAGCUCUAGCGAGGACGAGGUUCCAAUACAAAAACAACCAUUAAUAAGACCGAAUCCACUGAACAUAUGUUCAAAAGAAAUAUCGAUGAAUCACAUAUACAGUUUGGAAGGUCGUUGGCUCACGUGGUAUAUACGAGGAAUCUGCUUUCGAAAGUGAAGAGGAAGCAAUCACCACAAGAGAUUUGCAAGAAGAUUCAAAGUGUACUCUGCAAACUUUGUAUAUACAGAUGGACUAUUAUGAGAAGAGUACUCUAAGGAAUGUUACUGACGAGGGAUAGUACAAGGACCAACAGAGAAAAAUGCUGCUUCUCUGUGAGAUUGUAGAAGGAUUAGUUCACUUUCAUUCAAUAGAGAAUUCAAAAUGGCUUUGAUGGUGGAGAUUAGUGUCCUCAUCUGAUAUCUAUUCCUUUCGGCUACGCUUUGAAAAAUUCAAGAGUUUGGAAUGAAUUUGAGGUGUUGCAAAUUCUUAGAAAAAGGAGGGUUUGCUUCAGUUGUCAAGGUACGUAAUAAAUUCGACGGCUG